GAGUUUGAUCAUGGCUCAGAGCGAACGCUGGCGGCAGGCCUAACACAUGCAAGUCGAACGCCCCUUCGGGGGAGUGGCGGACGGGUGAGUAACGCGUGGGAAUGUGCCCUUUGGUACGGAACAACUGAGGGAAACUUCAGCUAAUACCGUAUGUGCCCUUCGGGGGAAAGAUUUAUCGCCAUUGGAGCAGCCCGCGUUGGAUUAGGUAGUUGGUGGGGUAAAGGCCUACCAAGCCUACGAUCCAUAGCUGGUCUGAGAGGAUGAUCAGCCACACUGGGACUGAGACACGGCCCAGACUCCUACGGGAGGCAGCAGUGGGGAAUCUUGCKCAAUGGGCGAAAGCCUGACGCAGCCAUGCCGCGUGUAUGAUGAAGGUCUUAGGAUUGUAAAAUACUUUCACCGGGGAAGAUAAUGACGGUACCCGGAGAAGAAGCCCCGACUAACUUCGCGCCAGCAGCCGCGGUAAUACG
rnacentral:rRNA from 1 species